GACGUAGGGUGCAAGCGUUAAUCGGAAUUACUGGGCGUAAAGCGUGCGCAGGCGGUUGUGCAAGACAGAUGUGAAAUCCCCGGGCUCAACCUGGGAAUUGCAUUUUGUGACUGCACGGCUAGAGUGUGUCAGAGGGGGGGUAGAAUUCCACGUGUAGCAGUGAAAAUGCGUAGAGAUGUGGAGGAAUACCGAUGGCGAAGGCAGCCCCCCUGGGAUAACACUGACGCUCAUGCACGAAAAGCGUGGGGGGAGCAAAACAGG
rnacentral:rRNA from 1 species